rnacentral:rRNA from 1 species
AUUUAGCUAGUCAAAACAAGCAAAGCGUAACUUAAGUUUGCUUUCCCGAAACUAAGUGAGCUACUUUGAAACAGCCUUACGGGCCAACUCGUCUCUGUUGCAAAAGAGUGAGAAGAUUUUUAAGUAGAAGUGAAAAGCCUAUCGAACUUAGAGAUAGCUGGUUAUUUGGGAAAAGAAUAUUAGUUCUGCCUUAAGCCAAACAACACAGUUUAAAGUAACUUAAGAGUUAUUCAAAUAAGGUACAGCCUAUUUGAUACAGGAAACAACCUAGAAAGUAGGGUAACGUCAUUUAAAACGUAAUUAAGUUGGCCUAAAAGCAGCCAUCUUUUAAAAAGCGUCAAAGCUUAAUUAUUUAAUAAUACUAAUUUCAACAAAAAUACAAAACCCACAUUUAAUACCAAAUAACUUUAUAUAAUUAUAAAAGAUAUUAUGCUAAAACUAGUAAUAAGAAAAAGACUUUCUCCUAAAUAUAAGUGUAACGCAGAAUAAACAAAUUACUGCUAAUUACUGUUCAUGACUCAAUAGUAGUAACCUUACUAGAAAACCCUACUAAUUAUAACAUUAAUCUAACACAAGAGUAUUACAGGAAAAAUUAAA